rnacentral:rRNA from 1 species
AGUGAACGCUGGCGGUAGGCCUAACACAUGCAAGUCGAACGGCAGCACAGUAAGAGCUUGCUCUUACGGGUGGCGAGUGGCGGACGGGGGAGGAAUACAUCGGAAUCUACUUUUUCGUGGGGGAUAACGUAGGGAAACGUACGCUAAUACCGCAUACGACCUACGGGUGAAAGCUGGGGAUCUUCGGACCUUGCGCGAUUGAAUGAGCCGAUGUCGGAUUAGCUAGUUGGCGGGGUAAAGGCCCACCAAGGCGACGAUCCGUAGCUGGUCUGAGAGGACGAUCAGCCACACUGGAACUGGGACACGGUCCCGAAUCCUACGGGAGGCAGCAGUGGGGAAUAUUGGACAAUCGGCGCAAGCCUGAUCCAGCCAUACCGCGUGGGUGAAGAAGGCCUACGGGUUGUAAAUCCCUUUUGUUUGGAAAGAAAAGCAGCAGGUUAAUACCCCGCUGUUCUGACGGUACCCAAAGAAUAAGCACCGGCUAACUUCGU